UACAGAGGUCCCAAGCGUUGUUCGGAUUCAUUGGGCGUAAAGGGUGCGUAGGCGGCGCGGUAAGUCGGGUGUGAAAUCUCGGAGCUUAACUCCGAAACUGCAUUCGAUACUGCCGUGCUUGAGGACUGGAGAGGAGACUGGAAUUUACGGUGUAGCGGUGAAAUGCGUAGAUAUCGUAAGGAAGACCAGUGGCGAAGGCGGGUCUCUGGACAGUUCCUGAUGCUGAGGCACGAAGGCCAGGGGAGCAAACGGG
rnacentral:rRNA from 1 species